rnacentral:rRNA from 1 species
CCGGGUAGGUGCUACACAUGCAAGUCGAACGGCAGCACAGUAAGAGCUUGCUCUUAUGGGUGGCGAGUGGCGGACGGGUGAGGAAUACAUCGGAAUCUACUUUUUCGUGGGGGAUAACGUAGGGAAACUUACGCUAAUACCGCAUACGACCUACGGGUGAAAGCAGGGGAUCUUCGGACCUUGCGCGAUUGAAUGAGCCGAUGUCGGAUUAGCUAGUUGGCGGGGUAAAGGCCCACCAAGGCGACGAUCCGUAGCUGGUCUGAGAGGAUGAUCAGCCACACUGGAACUGAGACACGGUCCAGACUCCUACGGGAGGCAGCAGUGGGGAAUAUUGGACAAUGGGCGCAAGCCUGAUCCAGCCAUACCGCGUGGGUGAAGAAGGCCUUCGGGUUGUAAAGCCCUUUUGUUGGGAAAGAAAUCCAGCCGGUUAAUACCUGGUUGGGAUGACGGUACCCAAAGAAUAAGCACCGGCUAACUUCGUGCCAGCAGCCGGGGGUAAUACA